GUAAGGAAUAUUGGUCAAUGGACGAAAGUCUGAACCAGCCAUGCCGCGUGAAGGAUGAAGGCCCUCUGGGUUGUAAACUUCUUUUAUCUGGGACGAAAAAAGGGUAUUCUUACUCACUUGACGGUACCAGAGGAAUAAGCACCGGCUAACUCCGUGCCAGCAGCCGCGGUAAUACGGAGGGUGCAAGCGUUAUCCGGAUUCACUGGGUUUAAAGGGUGCGUAGGUGGGUAUUUAAGUCAGUGGUGAAAUCUCCGAGCUUAACUCGGAAACUGCCAUUGAUACUAUUUACCUUGAAUGCCCUGGAGGUAAGCGGAAUAUGUCAUGUAGCGGUGAAAUGCUUAGAUAUGACAUAGAACACCAAUUGCGAAGGCAGCUUACUACGGGGUGAUUGACACUGAGGCACGAAAGCGUGGGGAGCAAACAGGAUUAGAAACCCUUGUAGUCC
rnacentral:rRNA from 1 species